rnacentral:misc_RNA from 1 species
GAUGAAGAACGCAGCGAAAUGCGAUAAGUAAUGUGAAUUGCAGAAUUCAGUGAAUCAUCGAAUCUUUGAACGCACAUUGCGCCCCCCGGCAUUCCGGGGGGCAUGCCUGUUCGAGCGUCUCCAGGACGAAUCCUCGCGCGAGUGAACGCGCGGUCGUGGCGGAGGUGGCGUGCCCAAGCAGGGCGGCCACCGCGCUGGAAUCCAUGGGCGGACGCCUGCCGCGUGGCCGAGCGUGAUAUGACGCAUUGGCGCUCGUGCGCGGCGAGGCUGCCAGCCCUGGCCCGUCUGUCGGGCGGGGUAGAUCACCACGUGGGAACUCCUCGAAUCAGGUAGGGAUACCCGCUGAACUUAAGCAUAUCAAUAAGCGGAGGA